GGGUCAGUAGGUUGGUCGUGCCACCGGUACGUACUGGUCUCACUGAUUCCUCCUUCCUGAAGAACCGUAAUGCCAUUAAUUUGGUGUUGCGGGGAAACAGGACUGUUACUUUGAAAAAAUUAGAGUGUUUAAAGCAAGCUAACACUUAAAUACAUUAGCAUGGAAUAAUGAAAUAGGACGAUCGAUCCUAUUUUGUUGGUUUCUAGGAUUGACGUA
rnacentral:rRNA from 1 species